AACAAUGCUAAACACAACAACACUGGCUUAAACAGAGACGAGAAUUCAAGGACGUUUGGAAAUGGAGACCAAUGAAGCGUCCCCUCCAUAGACAAAGCCAGUUGCUACGAGUCCGAGAGAAAGGCGGCUCAGACCUUGAAGCUACGGUACCUACAGUUUCCGGCAAGCAAACAAAUCACGAACCACUCCAAGAAUCACAAGCACGGACUGACA
rnacentral:lncRNA from 1 species